AUGAAUAACUAUGGUGUUGGUUGUUGCUGGCUUCUAGGAGCAGGUGCACGCCCGCCAUUCUUAUCUCUCCACCUGUGCACUUUAUGUAGGUCUGGAUAACUCUCGCUCUCGAGCGGAUGCAGGGACUGUUGCAUGCGACUCUCCUUGAAUUUCCAGAUCUAUGUAUUUUACAUACCCCAAUUGAAUGAUGUAGAAUGUAGUCAAUGGGCUAAUCAAGCCUAUAAAACACAAUA
rnacentral:misc_RNA from 1 species